AUUCUCACUCCAAAGGCGUCAAAAACCGAAGCAUGGUCAAGCGCCCCUAGCGUCACUUUUAUGACGCCAAAUGUGCCUCUCGGCGUCGAAUAUCGAAGCACUACGACAUUCAUUGCUUUCAAUGGGAAACUUUUGGCGUCAGAAUUUGACACGAGGACAUGAGAUGUUUAUCGCUAUGAAAUCACGUUCAAGAAGUCUCAUUCAGCACACAUCGCGAUACUUGCUAUCAGUUCCACAGUUUGGCUGAAAAGACAUAAAGGCAGUCAGCCCAGUGGUGUUUCUGGAGAGGGAUUCCUUCAGAAAUGGAGAAGACAGAAAGCUGCGGAGGCAGAUAUAUGCAGCAGAUUGUUUGAGGAUAACGCUGUAGCUCCAUCAUGCACAAGGACUCACCUCGUUAACUCUUUAUCCCCCACACACACAGAAAUGGUCCCUGGAUCAGUGAUUAGACUUUGCAGUGGUUUGAUUUUUGCAGAAGAUGUAACUUUGUUUUAAUUAUAAGCUCAUAAUGAAUACAUUACAGAACCAGUGAUGAAAACAAUAGUUAAAAAUAGCGCUACAUAUUAAAAAUAUAUUGCACACUUGACAUGCAUGU